rnacentral:rRNA from 1 species
AGCUCCAAUAGCGUAUACUAAUGUUGUUGCAGUUAAAAAGCUCGUAGUCGGAUUUCAGUUUGUUUACACUUAACCUUUUUUGGUUUUUGUGUCAACAUGCUUUAUGCAAGAAACUUUCAUAUUAUUUAUUUGAUAUGUUUUGGAACUUGCUCAUUUACUUUGAGAAAAUUAGAGUGUUCAAAGCAGGUAUUUGCCUGAAUAUUACUCUUGGAAUAAUAUUAUAGGACUUCAGUUCUAGUUUGUUGGUGAUCUGGAACCGAAGUAAUGAUUGAUAGGGACAGUUGGGGUCAUUCAUACUGCAAAGCGAGAGGUGGAAUUCUUGGACCUUUGUAUGAUGAACAACUGCGAAAGCAUUUGACUAGGAUGUUCCCA